ensembl:lncRNA
CUGUCCCAAGGGAGAUUUGUGGAUCGAGGCGGUCUUAGGAAGAGGGAAGUUCCUGUGCACAGAGGCCUGGGAACUUCAGCUUCCUCUGAGCCUUCAGCGGCCAUGUCUCAACAAGGAGACGACCGCGGUUCCAAUUCAUGCCGUGUCAGUGGCAAGAAGCGGCGCGGCGCGGUUCCCCGCGGUUGGGAGCAGCAGCCAGCAGGCUGCCAGAGAUCCAACCGCGCCUUGCAGCGCACAGAGGGACGCAACAGGGACGGACCGUCCUUCCUGCUGUGCAAAAGGACGGAGCCUGAGCGUCCAUGGAGUGGUGCUGGGUAUGGGGGGAAACGGAAAGCCUGCACAGAAGCUGACACGAGCGGCCUUCCAGCAAAGCGCAGCCUUGCAGAAAGGCAAGGCAGAAGCGCCCAGUGUGGCACAG